rnacentral:lncRNA from 1 species
AAUUUAAAGUAUCAAGACUAAAUGGGGGAGAGGGGACAAUGAUAAGAAACAAUACAAACUGUCAGAAAUGAUCAUCAGUAUUUGUAUGUGUGAUGGAAUGUGCCAUUGCCUUUGGUGUCAUACAGAGAUGAUUUUAGAUGCCUGUUCACUCACUGUCUGUGUAACUCUGUGCAAGUAAGUUAAGCUUUCAUUUAUUUAUGUAUUUAUUUAUUUUGAGAUGAGGUCUUGUUAUGUUUUCCAGGAGUUCGAGACCAGCCUGGCCAACAUGACGAAACCCCUGUCUCUACAAAAAAAUACAAAAAUUAGUUGGGCAUGAUAGCGCACGCCUGUAAUCCCAGUACUCAGGAGGCUGAGGCACAAGAGUUGCUUGAACCUGGGAGGUGGAGGUUACAGUGAACUGAGAUCCUGCCUCUGCACUCCAGCCUGGGUGACAAAGUGAGACCCUGUCUUA